AUCUAGCCCAGAUCGCAACGGCAUCCUUUUUUACGUAGCCUGAGCCUAGCCGAAGGAAACGUGAAAAAGAUAUAGUGGAGAGCUGGAUGAAGC
rnacentral:sRNA from 1 species